rnacentral:rRNA from 2 species
ACUGGAACUGAGACACGGUCCAGACUCCUACGGGAGGCAGCAGUGGGGAAUAUUGCACAAUGGGCGCAAGCCUGAUGCAGCCAUGCCGCGUGUAUGAAGAAGGCCUUCGGGUUGUAAAGUACUUUCAGCGGGGAGGAAGGGAUGGCGCUUAAUACGCGCCGUCAUUGACGUUACCCGCAGAAGAAGCACCGGCUAACUCCGUGCCAGCAGCCGCGGUAAUACGGAGGGUGCAAGCGUUAAUCGGAAUUACUGGGCGUAAAGCGCACGCAGGCGGUCUGUUAAGUCAGAUGUGAAAUCCCCGGGCUUAACCUGGGAACUGCAUUUGAAACUGGCAGGCUUGAGUCUCGUAGAGGGGGGUAGAAUUCCAGGUGUAGCGGUGAAAUGCGUAGAGAUCUGGAGGAAUACCGGUGGCGAAGGCGGCCCCCUGGACGAAGACUGACGCUCAG